GGACCAGACUCCUACGGGAGGCAGCAGUGGGGAAUAUUGCACAAUGGGGGAAACCCUGAUGCAGCGACGCCGCGUGAGUGAAGAAGUAUUUCGGUAUGUAAAGCUCUAUCAGCAGGGAAGAAAAUGACGGUACCUGACUAAGAAGCCCCGGCUAACUACGUGCCAGCAGCCGCGGUAAUACGUAGGGGGCAAGCGUUAUCCGGAUUUACUGGGUGUAAAGGGGGCGCAGACGGCAGCGCAAGCCAGGAGUGAAAGCCCGGGGCCCAACCCCGGGACUGCUCUUGGAACUGCGCGGCUGGAGUGCAGGAGAGGUAAGUGGAAUUCCUAGUGUAGCGGUGAAAUGCGUAGAUAUUAGGAGGAACACCAGUGGCGAAGGCGGCUUACUGGACUGUAACUGACGUUGAGGCUCGAAAGCGUGGGGAGCAAACAGGAUUAGAUACCCGAGUA
rnacentral:rRNA from 1 species